UGUUUCUGUGUCAUUGUUGGUAACCAGUAAGACAGCCUGGCACAGUAAAUUCCUAGAUUAAAAGGCAGCUUAGUGCAGCUGCCCCUGUGUCAAAGCAGGGUCCAUGGAAGCAGGAGGACUUCUUAUGGAAACUCUCCACCGAGAGGCAGGCAGGCACGUGUCAGAGCCCUUCACACAGUGGGAUACUAAUUGUUUGCAUUGCAAAUAUUGGCAUUCUGGGGAUCUCAGUAAUGACCUGAACCUUUGACUCAUGCUCAUGGACAGUUAUUCAACAUUUUCUACCACUGCAAAAACAAAAGAAAAAAUAAAAAGGAAGAACCUACAAUGUAGGAUUUACAUAUUAAAAAGACACAUUUGUCUAAAACAUAUUCUACAGAAAAAUUUGUAUCUAUGAUUAUCAUUUGUUAAAGCCUUGCAUCAUACCAUAUUGUUGGUUCAACACCACAAAGAAAUUAAUAUAUUCUUUACUCUUCUUUUUUUUUUGAAACAUAUAUGCUGUAUAUGUUUUAAAGCAAUAUGAAUGAGAGGUUAUGCUUUUAGUUACUCUCCACUAUAGAUCCAUGUGUGAUUUCACCUUCCUUUACAUGCAGAUAACCCUGAGACUAGAUCCCUGGAGUUAUGGGCAGAGAUGUGUUGAAAGUUGCAUUUGUCCGAUGUAGGAUGCCGAGAAAACAGGACCCAAGGCAAAACUGCUCAACUGUGUUAACUUCUGUUACUAUAAAUAAAGGCAUGUGCCUAGUUUUGAUACAGAAUGGAAUAUUUUUUAUACUUGUAAUAUCACACUGGACCAGUUUACUGUAACAAAGCCCUCGGUUUCUCCAGAAGGUGGCGCACCACUAGUUAUACCUGUAAAAUGCAAGACCUGGAGCUGAUGUUCCCCUUUCAAAAUAUGAGAAUCUCUUCAAGAAAACCUUGCAUGUGCCCCAGACUGCCCUUCUGCAGCUUGCCAAGGUCCUUAAUCCUCUUCUCCCUCCCCGCACCGCAUCUCCCUGGAGAACAUCCUGAACAGGAAGCAGGAAGAGACCCAGGACAACAGACUCCCCUGAGAGAGCCCACAGAGAGAGGAAAGCUUUGGUAUUCCCUCACACUCCUGCCUCCUUUCCUGAGCCCACAAUCGAAAUGA
rnacentral:lncRNA from 1 species